rnacentral:rRNA from 1 species
UACAGAGGUCCCAAGCGUUGUUCGGAUUCACUGGGCGUAAAGGGUGCGUAGGCGGUCGGGUAAGUCUGAUGUGAAAUCUCCAAGCUCAACUUGGAAAUGGCAUCGGAUACUAUUCGGCUCGAGGAAUGGAGGGGAGACUGGAAUACUUGGUGUAGCAGUGAAAUGCGUAGAGAUCAUGAGGAAGACCAGUGGCGAAGGCGGGUCUCUGGACAGUUCCUGACACUGAGACACGAAGGCCAGGGGAGCAAACGGG